rnacentral:rRNA from 1 species
AGUCACUGACAUUAGACUACCCGGGUAGUCCCAGCCGUAAACAAUGUGCGUUAGGUGUGUCGGUAACCACGCGUUACUGAUGCGCCGAAGAGAAAUCGUGAAACGCACCACCUGGGAAGUACGGUCGCAAGGCUGAAACUUAAAGGAAUUGGCGGGGGAGCACCACAACAGGUGGAGCCUGCGGUUUAAUUGGAUUCAACGCCGGACAUCUCACCGGAUAAGACAGCUGAAUGAUUGUCAAUCUGAAGGUUUUACAUGACUAGCUG